rnacentral:rRNA from 1 species
GAUUAUGGCUCAGAUUGAACGCUGGCGGCAGGCCUAACACAUGCAAGUCGAGCGGAUGACGGGAGCUUGCUCCUUGAUUCAGCGGCGGACGGGUGAGUAAUGCCUAGGAAUCUGCCUGGUAGUGGGGGACAACGUUUCGAAAGGAACGCUAAUACCGCAUACGUCCUACGGGAGAAAGCAGGGGACCUUCGGGCCUUGCGCUAUCAGAUGAGCCUAGGUCGGAUUAGCUAGUUGGUGGGGUAAUGGCUCACCAAGGCGACGAUCCGUAACUGGUCUGAGAGGAUGAUCAGUCACACUGGAACUGAGACACGGUCCAGACUCCUACGGGAGGCAGCAGUGGGGAAUAUUGGACAAUGGGCGAAAGCCUGAUCCAGCCAUGCCGCGUGUGUGAAGAAGGUCUUCGGAUUGUAAAGCACUUUAAGUUGGGAGGAAGGGCAGUAAGUUAAUACCUUGCUGUUUUGACGUUACCGACAGAAUAAGCACCGGCUAACUCUGUGCCAGCAGCCGCGGUAAUACAGAGGGUGCAAGCGUUAAUCGGAAUUACUGGGCGUAAAGCGCGCGUAGGUGGUUUGUUAAGUUGGAUGUGAAAGCCCCGGGCUCAACCUGGGAACUGCAUCCAAAACUGGCAAGCUAGAGUACGGUAGAGGGUGGUGGAAUUUCCUGUGUAGCGGUGAAAUGCGUAGAUAUAGGAAGGAACACCAGUGGCGAAGGCGACCACCUGGACUGAUACUGACACU